GUUGGAAGGGACCUCAAAGAUCACCUAGUUCCACCCCUCUGCCCCUUCAUGCUCAUAUAUCUCUUUGGUCUGAAUUAGAACACCGUUAUUGUCACAGGUGCACAGCACAAGAGGGAGCUGAGGAACACAGGUUAUGGGACUUGCCCAUGCUGAUGAGCAAAGUUGCAAUUAGAUGAAUUAGUAUGAAUAAUUGAGGUUGGCUUUCAUAUCAGCAGCCAGGCUCCUUUUUGUGCUGGGGAGGAGGACACAGAUGCUGCCUGGAUGUACUGGUGGACAGUUCACACCUGCCUCACUGAUUACUGUCUGGGGGAUUAUCCUAACCCUGCUCCAGUGGUCUUCGGUGCUGUUUUGAACUCAGGAUGGAGUUGAAGAAAAUUAGGAAGGUCUGUGAGUCCCGAUCUUCAUGCAGCAUGGAGCAGUACGAGCUGGAGCCUCCUCUGGCUGAUCAUCAGGCUGUAGUCAACCACCGUGUUGUUAGUUGGAAACUGGCCAGGUUUGCAGCUGAGGCGUCAACACAAGCUGUCUGUGAGCAAGAAUCAGCACCAAUCUCUGAGAUUAUAAAGAAAGCUGAAUAUCAAAUUUCAUCACAAAUACAUACAUGUUAUUGCUGCUCACCUGGAGCUUCCUACAGGCAGAAAGAAGCAUUUCCAGGGAAUGACGGAUUUCACUUAUCUUCGACAGCUGUUUUGAAAUGGACACAGAGAUACUUAAGAGAACACGUUUAGAC
rnacentral:lncRNA from 1 species